rnacentral:tRNA from 1 species
GCGGUAGAGGCGGAUAUUGGCAUGGCCGCGGCAGACUGUAAAUCUGUUCUGUGAAAAGCAUUGGGGGUUCGAUUCCCUCCUACCGUAC